CAAGAAGAGGCAAUAAAAAAACACUAACCUUCACUGCAGAUGUACCUACAAAUGAAUGAAUGAUCCCAAGUUAGUCUCGAGUGUGUGAAGCCGCACAUCUCUGAUGUCCUCGACUAGUGAUCUCACCUAUACCAAAAAUUCGAUAACGGUUCUAAAGGAUACAAACACAUGGGUUUAGAAGGGAGAGACAAAUGUAUGAUGUUACCAUAUACAUGUCUGGAAUAUCAUGACGUGCAGUGCCAAAAAAAGUGCAUUUGCCUCUCCUCUUUAGUGCCACUGCAAGCACAGAGGCACUUGCGUUGGAAUCUGAGGAACGAACCGACCAUAAUCCCCCUGUCACCGGUUCAAAAGUUAAUCAUAUGGUUAACUAAAAAUUUCACCACAUGGUUUCAAGAUUCUAUAAAGCUGUGGAGAGAUUACAGCGAUGAAAUUGAGCGGGUUCAUAUUGGGAACAAUCUCCACCAUUUCGGCUUCUGCCAUGAACUCAACCUGAUGUGAAAUGCUAAAAUCAAUUACAUCAUUGCAGACAGUAAACGAAGAAACAAUAUACAAACAAAGGGGAGGAGGAGGAGAAGAACCUGGUUCGAUAUUUUGAUUGAACCAACCUCAAACCAAAAAUUGUGAACCAAACAAAAUUUAAACCUGAUUCUUCACACGAGAGAUGUGGCAUGUGUUUGCUGUGUUUUCUUAAAGAAUCAAAACUCUUUUGUGUUGAUGGCUUUUUCACGUCAUGAUUACAUAUACAGCUAAUUGUUGCUUCAAAUUUAGUAACAAAGAAUCUUAGUAUAAAUGAAACAGUUGAGAGACUAUACAGCCGAUGAUGUGCUGAACGAAACUGAUCAAAGCAAGAACGAAACUGAUCAAAGCAAGAACGGAGCAUUUAGAAGUUUCCAUAGGUAUCUCAGUGAGGGAAAAGAUUCUGAUUCCGGAUAGGAUGAAGGGUCAUUAGUUGAAUUGACAUGUAGCUAACUACUACCAAUACAACGUUGCUUGCAGCUCAAGGAAACAGUGAUGGAGUGGUUUAACAAGAAAAGUCAGUCCCCUUGGGACAAAAGUUGGUAGAAGUGAGGCCUCACAAUACGGCUUACGUUAUCUCACUUGUGGGAAAGGGUAAACAAUCAUAAGAGAAUGUAAUUAUUACAGGACCACUUUGUCUGGACCGACCAUAUUACACAACAUCACCAAUGUUAAAUAAAACAAAGAAAAGCUAAACUUUGUCAGGGACCAAUCUCAUCCCAGUUGAGUCAUUUACAAAAUGCCAAAGCAGAAAGAAAGAAAAACAACAAAUGUACUUGCGAGAAAAGGCGAGAAUUAAAAAGACAAUUAAUCUUU